rnacentral:rRNA from 1 species
UACGUAGGGGGCAAGCGUUGUCCGGAAUCAUUGGGCGUAAAGAGCGUGUAGGCGGCCCGAUAAGUCCGCCGUGAAAGUCCAGGGCUCAACCCUGGAAUGCCGGUGGAAACUGUCGGGCUGGAGUCCGGAAGAGGCGAGUGGAAUUCCUGGUGUAGCGGUGAAAUGCGCAGAUAUCAGGAGGAACACCGAUGGCGAAGGCAGCUGCCUGGCCUGACACUGACGCUGAGGUGCGAAAGCGUGGGGAGCGAACGGG